CAUCAGAGAGUUUCUACCACCGUGGCUGAACGAUUCCAUCAGAGAGUUUCUACCACCGUGGCUGAACGAUUCCAUCAGAGUUUCUACCACCGUGGCUGAACGAUUCCAUCAGAGAGUUUCUACCACCGUGGCUGAACGAUUCCAUCAGAGUGACCAGGGGUGUAUUCAUUACUCACAAAUAUAAAUCCAAUAUAAACCCAAUAUAAACCCAAUAUAAACCUAAUAUAAACCUGUUGUCAUCUGCUUUGAAGGCUGACACAAGCAGAUAAUACUUAUAUAUCAUAGAUAUUCAUCAUAUCUAGAUCUAUCUAGAAUCUAGUUCUAUAAUCAGUCACAUGGUGAUCCAUAAUUAUGGUUUAUGUAGAUUUAGGCUAACAUGUUUCUGUUUCUGUUUUUAUUGUUGAACGUUGUGAGAGCUUGAUUUGAAGGGAUUCUAUCGUUCAUUAGUUCCAGUUCCCCCUCUCUCAGUUGUAGCUUUUUGAGAUUGACCUGUACACGGUAGUAAGUAACACUGUUGGAGCUAUUUUAUCCACUACAAACACACUGAACGUUAUUGCAGAGGAGUUAGGUACGAUAAGGCCAACGGAAGAGUUACAGAAUCUGCAUUUUCAAGGAAUUGGAGGAAUUGGGUUUGCAUUCAUUGUCUGACUACACUACAGACCCAAUAGAACCGUAUUCCCUAUCUAGUGCAUUGCUUUGCAGGGCCCAUAGAGCUCACAAUUAGUGUACUAUAUUGGCAACAAGGGUGCCAUUCGGGGCUCAGCCUAACAGGGAAAGCAUGCGACUGUUUGCUCGUUCAUCCCGCUGAAUAGAAAACUAUAGAAAAGACACCAUUUUACAAAGUAGAAAAAUUCCAUCAUCAACAUUAUGAACAAGUUAUUGUCAAGUAAGUUCAUGUCCAGUAAGUUAUUGUCCAGUAAGUUAAUGUCCAGUAAGUUAUUGUCCAGUAAGUUAACAUCCAGUAAGUUAAUAACGUCCAGUAAGUUAUUGUCCAGUAAGUUCAUGCCCAGUAAGUUAAUAACGUCCAGUAAGUUCAUGUCCAGUAAGUUAAUAACGUCCAGUAAGUUCAUGUCCAGUAAGUUAAUGUCAAGUAAGUUCAUGUCCAGUAAGUUAACUUCCAGUAAGUUAAUAACGUCCAGUAAGUUAUUGUCCAGUAAGUUCAUGCCCAGUAAGUUAAUAAUGUCCAGUAAGUUAACGUCCAGUAAGUUAACGUCCAGUAAGUUAACGUCCAGUAAGUUAAUAACGUCCAGUAAUAAGUUAUUGUCCAGUAAGUUCAUGCCCAGUAAGUUAACGCCCAGGAAGUUAUUGUCCAGUAAGUUAAUGUCCAGUAAGUUAAUGUCCAGUAAGUUCAUGUCCAGUAAGUUAACGUCCAGUAAGUUAAUAACGUACAGUAAGUUAAUGUCCAGUAAGUUAUUGUCCAGUAAGUUAUUGUCCAGUAAGUUAAUAACGUACAGUAAGUUAACGUCCAGUAAGUUAAUAACGUCCAGUAAGUUAACGUCCAGUAAGUUCAUGUCCAGUAAGUUAACGUCCAGUAAGUUAACGUCCAGUAAGUUCAUGUCCAGUAAUUUAAUAACGUCCAGUAAGUUCAUGUCCAGUAAGUUAACGUCCAGUAAGUUAACGUCCAGUAAGUUAACGUCCAGUAAGUU
ensembl:lncRNA